rnacentral:misc_RNA from 1 species
UCCGAGUUGACCCCGGCAGUCUCUCACGAGUCCCCGCCAUUACGCGCUGGCAACAUCGAACGAGGGUUGCGCUCGUUGCGGGACUUAACCCAACAUCUCACGACACGAGCUGACGACAGCCAUGCAGCACCUGUGAUCGAGUCCCGAAGGAGGGCCGUAUUUCUACGGCUUUCCCGACCAUGUCAAGCCUUGGUAAGGUUCUUCGCGUUGCGUCGAAUUAAACCACAUGCUCCGCUGCUUGUGCGGGCCCCCGUCAAUUCCUUUGAGUUUCAGCCUUGCGGCCGUACUCCCCAGGCGGAGUGCUUAAUGCGUUUACUGCAGCACUAAAGGGCGGAAACCCUCUAACACUUAGCACUCAUCGUUUACGGCGUGGACUAC